rnacentral:rRNA from 1 species
AUGAACGCUGGCGGCGUGCCUCAUACCUGCAAGUCGAGCGAACAGAUGAGGAGCUUGCUCCUCUGACGUUAGCGGCGGACGGGUGAGUAACACGUGGAUAACCUACCUAUAAGACUGGGAUAACUUCGGGAAACCGGAGCUAAUACCGGAUAAUAUAUUGAACCGCAUGGUUCAAUAGUGAAAGACGGUUUUGCUGUCACUUAUAGAUGGAUCCGCGCCGCAUUAGCUAGUUGGUAAGGUAACGGCUUACCAAGGCGACGAUGCGUAGCCGACCUGAGAGGGUGAUCGGCCACACUGGAACUGAGACACGGUCCAGACUCCUACGGGAGGCAGCAGUAGGGAAUCUUCCGCAAUGGGCGAAAGCCUGACGGAGCAACGCCGCGUGAGUGAUGAAGGUCUUCGGAUCGUAAAACUCUGUUAUUAGGGAAGAACAAAUGUGUAAGUAACUAUGCACGUCUUGACGGUACCUAAUCAGAAAGCCACGGCUAACUACGU